AAACAUGUUCGCUUUUGGAGAAACAGUGUUGAAAAGUAAUUUCAUUUGUUCUUCAUUUGGCUAGGUAUAAACUUAACCAUCUUUGACCAGAAACUCUGCUUGUUAUUAUUUUUCUUUUUUCAUUUUACUGAAGCCAUGGUGUCACUAAAUGUACUUUCUUUUUCUAGUUUUGAUUCUUUCCUCUGAUUUUCUUUAAAUUAAAACUAUGUCGCUUCCCCUCUCUAUUCUGCGUCCACUCCCCAUGUCCCUACACAAAUACACAUGGUUCUUGUUAAGAAUAGCAGUCAUCUUGGUCAAGUUGUCUUUUCCUGCUUUCUAAAAUCCUGAUUCAUAAGUAUUUUGUGGAAUAAUACCAAAAGGGAUCACAAUCUUUUAUUCAGUCAUUUUCUGUCGGAGGCAAAUUCAGUUUUUAGGGUUAUAGUGGUCAUGAGACCACAGGUGAGCAUCCACUUUUUAACAAUCCCAACAAUGUUUGACUCUCAACAUGUUUCUUGGUGUUUGAGUGUUUUGCAAGAACUUGUAUCAGAAGUUAAAUAUUCUAGCACUAUUCCUAUAUAGCUUUGCUAUUUCUCUAUAAUGCAUCAUACUAAUUAUUAGUGGUUUGACCAGUGGCUUUGAAUUAAUAAUGGGUCUGAUUUAUACAGUAGACAAUUUUUUUUCACAUGUUUUAUCCCCCAGCCCAGUUUUGCGGAUGGUCUUUACUCUCCAAUGUAAAUUUACCCCUUCGAAAUUUGGGUUUUUGUGAUAAUAGGAACUAUUCUAUAAUCUGGGUGAGAAAGAUUUAAAAAAUGAGCUGAAAGUAGUUUGAGAAUUCUUAAAGAUGAGAUAGAUCAGGUAUUUGGAGUUGUGAAUGUACUAGGGGGAAGUUAAGGUGCAGGAAGAAGGGAGAAUUGUGUUCCCAUCAGCAAUCUGCAGGUUCACUCCACCAUCUCAACACCAAAACAUACUGUAAUAGCUUUUCCCACCUUGUAGCAGUUUAUCUGAAAAAAAUGAGGAACCAUUGUGAAUGUAAAUAUGGUAGUAAGAAAACUUAUAACCCCUAGACUUUAUAAUGUUUUAGGUUAUCAAACUGCUUUCACUGUGUACUCUCUUUGUCUCCCCAACACGGAAGGUUGGACAGAUGUCCAAAUACUCCUCUUACUGGUGAAGAACCUGCAGGUUGGCAAGAAUAGCAAAUGCCUUGCUCCAGUCACAGAGCAAGUCCACCCAUCUGAGAUCAAACCAUUUCAAUUCUGCAGACUGACUGCUAAAUGCAUUUCUGCACCAUAAACUAUGACUUACAGAGUGUUAUUGAGCAGAAAUUGUCAGACCUGAUCUAAGAAUAAUACAAAACCUACUUAUUGUGUGCAAAACAUGCUUCUCAACUUUGUUUCCAUUAUUUAUUUAGCCAGUGAUUUUUGUAUGCAUACUUUGGAAGGUCUCCCCAAAUUCCCAGGACUUCUGCAUUAGGGCUUAGAUUAAUGAAGCUGUAGUUUUCCCCCUGUAAGUAAGCUUUUUAAUGAAGAAUGUCCCUGUAUUACUAAAACAAAAGGAAACCUCAGUAAUAUUUGUCUAAAAAUAUUAUUUUUUUAAAAACUGAGAUCAGCAACUCAUAAUCAAAGUUUAAUGUAUUUGUUAUAUUGAAAUGCAGGUUUCUAGAAGGGAAUGUGCUGGGUAAACUGACUUAGUUCCCAGGCCCCCGUGGUAAAAAUGUAAAGUUGUUGGCAUCUCUUAAGAGUUAGUAAGUACUGUCUCCCACUUAUUUAAGUAUUUUGUUUUGUUUUUUGUUCUGCUUUGUUUCCAGCCACGUAAAGUGUCCAAAGUUUAAACAUAUCUUUGCCCAGAGAGUUAAGAAAAAUAAUGAGAUGUAUUUGUAAAGUUUUGGGUAAGCUCUUUAUAAUUAUAAAGAGGUGGGAUAUUUUGGCAUUUCCAUCAGUACAUUUUGGGUUACUAAUGAAAAACCCAAACUUACCUAAAUAAUCAAAUAAAUUCCACUUUUGAUGAUUUGGUUCAAUAACUGCCUAUCCUCACUAAUGCCUGUUUGUGAUAUUAUAAAAUGGCUGACAACAUAGGACUUUACAAAAACAGCUCUUAGAAAAAAAAACAGAAACAAAACAAAGACUAAAUAUUUUAUUAAUAUGUAUGGUCAUUUUUUUUAAACUUCUAUAACAGAUAACAUUGUGAUAGGUGCUUUAAGAGAAAUAUUUUUCCAGAAAUGGUUUUAUAGUAAAUGGGGGGGCAGCUUUUGCAUUGUGAUGUAUGGGUGGAUAGUCAUCUUUGAGUUACUAAGAAAUCAUGAAGUGUUCCCUGAAGAGAAACUCAUAAAACUAUUUGGCAGAAAGAAAAGCAUUAAUUUCUAGUUUCUUUAUUUUCUCUUGUGUUAUAUGGUGGCCUAUAUCACGUGUAGAUUCACGUGUAUAUCAAUACUUUGGCUCAAAGGAGAAGACAGUGCUUAUCAAUAGUGGGUGUAAAAUAUUCAGAUUCUUCAUUAUGGGGAAAUAGAGUAGCAUUGACUUUUCAAUAGAGAAAUACCAAUUUCACAAGUUAAUAUUCCUGUCUCUACGUGACUUUUUCUCUCCUUUGAGUAUAUUUACUAUUUAUUUUGUACCUUUGAUUUUUUUGCUUUGGGGGAUUUAUUUUUACCUAUUGCAGUCCUACUGUAUUAAAUAUCCCAUAUAAUGAAAUAAGUUAGUAAGGGAAAGAUUUUAAAACUCCAUAAAAUCUGGUUUGGGUUCUUAAUAUAUGGGAGAAACAGUUUCAAGAAAAAGCACUUCACCAUGCAGAAGGGAAAGAGUAGUCUUAAUUAUGAUGACUUCAAUUCAGGAUCAAGAUGUAGUGCUCUGCAUACAAGGGAACACUUACUAGCAGUACUUGAAGACUUGUGAGUUGGAAUUGCAUGUUACUUGAAAGACCUAAUUAAGCUAAAUUUUGGUGCACAGCAGUUGUACAUGAUUUCAUGUUUAUGUAGCAAAAUGCAUUGAAAUGUACUAGUAUUGAAACAUACAUGUAAAGAUAGUUGUGGAAAUUGUCUAUUAUAUUUUCCUUGUGUGUCUCAUUUAUUUAGAGCACAAAGUUUUUUUUUUAAGUGUUCUAACUGAAUAAGGCUAAAUGAAUACUGUAAUUGAAAUUAUAUUUUAAAUCUUUGUCAUGAGUUUUUAAAAAAACUAUUGCAAAUUGUAUCAUUCCUGAUUACACAGAACUUUGUGGGUGGUUUUAAAUAAAUUUUAUACUUC
rnacentral:lncRNA from 1 species